CGUAAUAGCUCACUGGUCGAGUCGGCCUGCGCGGAAGAUGUAACGGGGCUAAACCAUGCACCGAAGCUGCGGCAGCGACACUCAGGUGUUGUUGGGUAGGGGAGCGUUCUGUAAGCCUGUGAAGGUGGCCUGUGAGGGUUGCUGGAGGUAUCAGAAGUGCGAAUGCUGACAUAAGUAACGAUAAAGCGGGUGAAAAGCCCGCUCGCCGGAAGACCAAGGGUUCCUGUCCAACGUUAAUCGGGGCAGGGUGAGUCGACCCCUAAGGCGAGGCCGAAAGGCGUAGUCGAUGGGAAACGGGUUAAUAUUCCCGUACUUGGUGUUACUGCGAAGGGGGGACGGAGAAGGCUAUGUUGGCCGGGCGACGGUUGUCCCGGUUUAAGCGUGUAGGUGUGUGUUCCAGGUAAAUCCGGUUCACUUUAACACUGAGGCGUGAUGACGAGGCACUACGGUGCUGAAGCAACAAAUGCCCUGCUUCCAGGAAAAGCCUCUAAGCAUCAGGUAACAUCAAAUCGUACCCCAAACCGACACAGGUGGUCAGGUAGAGAAUACCAAGGCGCUUGA
rnacentral:rRNA from 1 species